GACCGCUGCAGCCGAGGCAGGGGGCAGGGCGAAGUCCCGGGAGCUGGGGAGGAGUGGUCUGCAUGAAGUGGCUGGGCUCCUGAAGAAGAGCCUAGAGCAGGAGGCAACCUCCUGGCAGCGGAGGUUGGUAGACUGUGGGAGGAAACAUGGCACUGGGGCCGGACUCUGAAGCAAGGUGACGGGGACGCAGAGAAAGAGGGGGUUAGGCUGGCCGAAGAUUGUGUCUUGAGGGCAGGGCGGGUUGAAGCGGCUUGUGGACCACACACCACAGGUGCUGAGGGCCCUGAGGAUGGGUGGGACUCUGGGGGCUGGGAAGAUGCUCUGAGGUCAUGGGGGAGACUCUGAGGUGAGAAGGAAGGCAGCUGAAUAGAAAGAAGAGGGAAAAUUGGGACCAGGCUACCCCAGACCAGAAUGGUCUUCCUUAUGACCUGGAGCCCACUCCUGCCUCGUUUUCCCACGGGGUGGACUGGCCUCAGAGCAUCCUUUCCCUGGGCAGUGGAGUUUUACUAGCCACUGCUCUAACAGACGGAAGGUUGUCCCUCUCCCAGGCCUCUCGCAUCUUGGUUACUCCCCCCUUUUCACAUUUUUUUCCUUCCUAAGUAGUGGGGAGGCAUAGUUCUUAGUCAAUGCCAGCAAUAGCCAGCGGAGGAUACAGGGGGACGGGUCCCCGCAAAAUGAUGUCAGGCUGUGGGUGUAGGGCUGAGAAGCAGGUGUGGUGGAGAUGACUAUAGCCCUGGUGUCUGCCAGCCUCUGGAACGGGAGCCACAAGAGCCAUCUAGUCAGGCACCUAGGACCGUGCCAGGUAAGGGAACUUCUUGGCCUGUCUAGCGUCUGCAGUGGGGACCUGUCAUCGUGUGUUCAUGGCUUGAGCCAAUGGAGUCUGCUACACAGAAACAAGACGAAGCUUGCCGGGCAUUUAGUGGUGCAUGCCUACAGGUAUGGGGAGCUGCCUGACUCUGGGAAAAGCUGUUGGCUAGUGCAAGUUACAAGGGAAGACUUCUGGGCACUCAGCAGAGCUGCAGUCCUGGCUGGUCGAGGAUCAGGACUACUUGGCCUAAGACCCGAAGAGACCCCAGGGCAGAAGCCAUUUCCUGCCUACCCCAAAUGAUGGUGACUCCAACUUCCCAUCAGAUCUGGCGAUGAUCUGCCUCCGUUUCAAAAGCAAGCCAAAGGGCUCCUGAAAUACUUUAGUCUAAGACCACCAUAAGUACUCUCCUAUGGUCACCGAGAGCUUUAUGUGGCCCCUGGGCUGCGACCUGGUCCAUCAAAACAGAGAACCACUUCUCCGCCACUACAGAAUUCUACUCUGGAAAGAGAAAGAGAAGGGUAAAGAAAAGCACUUCCAGCUGGUGUAUGGAAAGGGAAGUGGUUAAGGAGAAGAGAACACAUCCGUAACUGAGCAACCUCAUUUAAUGUGGAAGCUUGUGUUUAAAAUGUGUAAUGUGGAUGGAUGGAGUCAUGCUUGCUUUCCCUCCAUACUAUUCAAAGCACUGCUAAGUGGGAUAGGAAGCGGCAGAGGGACUCUUUUUUUUUUUUUUUGGUUUUUUGAGACAGGGUUUCUAUGUGUAGACCAGGCUGGCCUCAAACUCACAGAGAUCCGCCUGCCUCUGCCACCCAAGUCCUACGAUUAAAGGCGUGCGCCACCACCGCCUGGCUCGCAGAGGGACUCUUAGAGGUAAUUCUGUAACUACUUCACACCACUUCCACUAUGGACACAUUUUUCUUUUUGUGCUAGGGGUUGGGCCCAGGGCCUCACAUACGUGGGGCAAUGCUCUACCACUGAGCUAUCUCCAGCACAUCCACCAUUUUAACAGUACCACUGGCCUCUAACAGCAGCUCAUACUUGGUCAUUGAAACCUAUAUUGAUUUAGCAAUAUGGGCAACAGAGAUCACUGCAUAUCCCUUCUUUUUGACAUUGAUUUAUCUUGUGUGUGUUUGUUCACAUGCAGACAUGCACAGUGACAUGUGAAAGCUCAAGAACAAGUUGGGAAUCAGUUCUUUCCAUCACGUAGGUUCCAGGGACUGAACUUUGGUCACCAGGCACGGAUUACACACCCUUACUGAAUAUUCUGAAAGAAAAAAGUGCGUAUCUCUCCGUGAUAUCCUUUGGAUCUUGUCGUUAAUUCAUUUCAGCUAAGACUUCCCUAAGUCUCUAGGCUGACAUCUGCAGAGAUCGAUGAUGCAAGCAUAGACCGGUACACCUCAGCCCUAAGGAAAGUCCUGAGGGGAUGGAAAAGCAGCAAGGAGGAAGGAGUAUCGAUCGGGUGACAGAGGGACCAGAACAGAACCCCAAGACUGACAGAAAAGCACCUCGCCUCCAGACUCUCACCAUCACCUUCCCCCUCCUUGGCUAAACGUGGUCCCCUCCACGUCUCCGUCCACACUCUGCGGGCUGCCUCUACCCAGGUCACCACAGACCCCUUUGCUUCUAAAGCAACAAACCUCUUGAUGGUUGCCUCCCCUUGUAAAUUCCCGUGGGCUCCUCUUCCUUUGCUACCACUUAGAUACAGGCAUUCUUCAACAAGUGUCCCUUCUCCUCACCCGAGACCCCUCCUUGGGGGGCAGUGUCCACUUACAGUGCUUCCGCAGAGGCUGACACUCCCAGGUCUGGGCCAGCUCCGCCCCUUAUGGGCCUGCAUCAGGCCAGCAGACACUCCCAACCUGAGCAUUCCCUCCAGGCUUGUUCCCUCUUUCUCCUCCCUAGCCUCCACAGGCCUGCCUUUAAGAUGCAGGAGGUUAUCUCCGCUGCCCUUCCCUUGCUCAGGGCUUUUCUGUCGUUUCAAGCAAAUGCUUUGACAGCCAUCUUGUAACAGGUAUAGCGUGUCCUUGGUGUCCUUUCCGGACUGAGAUGAAGUCAAGUCCUUUGCUAGCAUUCAGCCCCCCUUCCGGUGAUCGUGGGCCUAAGGUAUGGGAGCAAGGCCCUGCCCUUCAAUAAGCAGCGUCUGCACCGAGCUGCUGCUCCCAGACCUGGUUCCCGUACAGGGACAACUGCAGUUCCUGGGGAGAGGGUAAGAGCACAGGAAUCUUUGGAAUGUGGCUUCUUUCCGGCAGGUCCAUUCUCAGCAGAGCCCUGCGCAUCCACCUCCUGCUGGGGAGCUAGGUCCUUCUGACUCUUCUCCUCCAAAGAAGUCUCCUUUCUCCUCACUAGUCCCAUGGUCCUGGUCCUGGCUUCAAUCACCCUCCCUCAGCCUGAACUCCCACCUACAGCCUCCAGGGCAGCUUCCAGCCUCAGGCCCCCGCCCUUUACCCGGCCAGUACACUUCUGGAAGACUACCUCUGUGAACGCAGAAUCCUAUCCCCUGGCUACAUCCUCCCAUAGUUUCCGAAAGCUCUUUGGAUAAGUUUAGAGGAACCAAGCACUGAGCCUCCUUCCUGUCCCUCCCUCCUCCCUGUCCUCCCUCCUCCCUGUCCUCCCUCCCAUUCUUUCUCUUCCUGGGAGCCUGAAGCCUGAGCUCCCCCUUUGGCCAUUUCUAAUCUCUAGAGGUUGCUUUUCACUUACUCUCUAGAAGCAGAUGACCUUGCUGGGUGCCAGUGUGCACUCCCUGUAGGACCCUUGGCAACGCUGGCCUCACCACAACAACGCUGGCCUCACCACAACGCUGGCCUCACCACAACGCUGGCCUCCACCGUAGGGAGUGUAGCUCUAUCCCGGAGGCAGGGGGUGUCUGUCUUUCUCUGGCAGACUGGCUUGGGACAGCAUGAUCUAACAGGAAGGACCCUAGAGCCCUGGUUAUCGGGCUGUCCCAGGCUAGAAGAGGCUCAAAGUCCACACCCAGACCCUAGGCUGUUGGUUUGGUUUGUUUUUUUAAACCUGCACAGCUCUGGCUUCCUUGGCCCUCUGCUAUGGCACUUCCCAGCAGGAAUCUCACUCUGUGCAAACAGUCCUUCUGGUGGCUAUUUUGGUCAGUCUGACUGGGCCAGAAGCCAGUAAAGCAGUUUCUAAGGCCAGGCUUUCCCCGUUGCCUAGCCUGGAAGAAUCCAGAGAUGGUAAGGGAAAAGCGAACCACAGCUGGUUUUCAAGAACAAAACUGGACCUCCGGGGAAACUGGCGAGUCAGCCUGUCUAAAGGCUGCGGGGAGCAAGCUUGGCUGUGACAGGCUCCAAACUGCCAGGACCACUCAACACCCAGCAGCCACAACACAGGAAAAGGACGCUCAUGCCGGGCACUGCAGAGCAGCUCUGGGGAGAGGAUGCUAAUGCCACAGGCCAAAGGACAGAACAGAGAUCUUCUCCACCCUCGCUCUGACCCCAACUGAGCCAUGACCCGAGACGUACACUCGACUUUAUCAAGAAGUUACACUUCCUUUCUGAGCUGGGAUUCCUAACCUCUUCUCUCAAACACAACUCCCCAGUCACCGUGUACAGACAGCUCCUUACUUCUAUGGCUCAACUUAACACGUUUUUUCACAUUUCAA